rnacentral:rRNA from 1 species
GACGAACGCUGGCGGCGUGCUUAACACAUGCAAGUCGAACGGUAAGGCCCUUCGGGGUACACGAGUGGCGAACGGGUGAGUAACACGUGGGUGAUCUGCCCUGCACUUCGGGAUAAGCCCGGGCAACUGGGUCUAAUACCGGAUAGGACCACUGCAUGCAUGGGGGGUGGUGGAAAGCUUUUGCGGUGUGGGAUGGGCCCGCGGCCUAUCAGCUUGUUGGUGGGGUGAUGGCCUACCAAGGCGACGACGGGUAGCCGGCCUGAGAGGGUGACCGGCCACACUGGGACUGAGAUACGGCCCAGACUCCUACGGGAGGCAGCAGUGGGGAAUAUUGCACAAUGGGCGCAAGCCUGAUGCAGCGACGCCGCGUGAGGGAUGACGGCCUUCGGGUUGUAAACCUCUUUCAGCACCGACGAAGCGCAAGUGACGGUAGGUGCAGAAGAAGGACCGGCCAACUACGUGCCAGCCGCCGCAGUAA